ACAGACAGACAGAAAGAAAGAAAGAAAGAAAGGAAGAGACCACCCUUGGUGAAGGAAGUUAUUCCCUGCCUUCCUUUCUUCCUUAUAGCGUUCCUUCUCUCUCUCUCUCUCUCU
rnacentral:ribozyme from 11 species